CGUAGAAACAAAAGUGAGGCGAGACGGAGACGUUAAGCAAAGCACAAAAACCUAGUCCCAGUUCGGAUUGUAGUCUGCAACUCGAGUACAUGAAGCUGGAAUCGCUAGUAAUCGCAAAUCAGAAUGUUGCGGUGAAUACGUUCCCGGGCCUUGUACACACCGCCCGUCACACCAUGGGAGUUGGAAGCACCCGAAGUCGAUGACCUAACCGUGAGGGAGGAGUCGCCGAAGGUGAAGCCAGUGACUGGGGUGAAGUCGUAACAAGGUACC
rnacentral:rRNA from 1 species